AGCAGCCGCGGUAAUUCCAGCUCCAAUAGCGUAUAUUAAAGUUGUUGCAGUUAAAAAGCUCGUAGUUGAAUUUCGGGAUUGGCGCAUCGGUCGUGCCUUACGGGGUAUGAACUGGUGCAGUCAAUUUCUCACCUUCUGGAGAACCGCGAUGUCCUUAAUUGGGUGCCGCGGGGAACCAGGACCUUUACUUUGAAAAAAUUAGAGUGUUUAAAGCAGGCAUUUUUGCUUGAAUACAUUAGCAUGGAAUAAUAAAAUAGGACGGCAUGGUUCUAUUUUGUUGGUUUCUAGGACCACCGUAAUGAUUAAUAGGGAUAGUUGGGGGCAUUAGUAUUCAAUUGUCAGAGGUGAAAUUCUUGGAUUUAUUGAAGACUAACUACUGCGAAAGCAUUUGCCAAGGAUGUUUUCAUUAAUCAAGAACGAAAGUUAGGAGAUCGAAGACGAUCAGAUACCGUCGUAGUCUUAACCAUAAACUAUGCCGACUAGGAAUCAGACGAUGUUAAUUUUUAAUGACUCGUUUGGC
rnacentral:rRNA from 1 species